AAGCUAGUAAGGGUAUACAGGGGAUGCCUUGGCGUUAAGUGCCGAUGAAGGACGUGGCACACUGCGAAAAGCUCCGGUGAGCCGUGUGCAGGCGCAAGAACCGGAGAUAUCCGAAUGGGGAAACCCGAUGCGGGUCAUGCCGCAUCACCGCCGAAAGGCGGGGGGAACCGGGCGAACUGAAACAUCUAAGUAGCCCGAGGAAAAGAGAAGAUUCCGCGAGUAGUGGCGAGCGAAAGUGGAAAAGCCCAAACCGUUGACUACGGUCAGCGGGGUUGUAGGACCUCAAAAGCCGAGCGGAACUGAAGUGGAAAGGUCUGGGAAGGCCUACCGAAGAGGGUGAGAGUCCCGUACACGUGAGCGAAGCGAGGCGGAGGGAUCCUGAGUACCACGGGGCACGCUAACCCUGUGGGAAGCUGGGAGGUCCACCUUCCAAGGCUAAAUACACUUGACGACCGAUAGAGAAGCAGUACCGUGAGGGAAAGGUGAAAAGAACCCCGGCGAGGGGAGUGAAAGAGAACCUGAAACUGUAUGCCUACAACCGGUCGGAGGGAGCGCAAGCUCCUGACGGCGUGCCUUUUGGAGAAUGAGCCAGCGAGUUAAUUUCUGUGGCGAGCUUAAGACAGAGACAGUCGGAGGCGAAGCGAAAGCGAGUCUGAAAAGGGCGAGAAGUCGCAGGGAUUAGACACGAAACCGUGUGAGCUAACCAUGGCCAGGGUGAAAGUACGGUAACACGUACGGGAGGCCCGAACCCACCGAUGCUGCAAAAUCGGGGGAUGAGCUGUGGUUAGGGGUGAAAUGCCAAACGAACACGGAGAUAGCUUGUUCUCCCCGAAAUAGCUUUAGGGCUAGCGUGCGGCGAUGGGUGCUGGAGGUAGAGCACUGGAUGGGCUAGGGGCCGUCAAGGUUACCGAACCCAACCAAACUCCGAAUGCCAGUAGCCCAAGCCGUGCAGUCGGACUACGUGAGAUGAGUUUCGUAGUCGAGAGGGAAACAACCCAGACCCACAGCUAAGGUCCUGAAGUGUGUGCUAAGUGGAAAACGAUGUGAUCGUGUCGAGACAGCCAGGAGGUUGGCUUAGAAGCAGCCACCCUUUAAAGAGUGCGUAAUAGCUCACUGGUCAAACGCGGUUGCGCGGAUAAUGUAACGGGGCUCAAGCACACCACCGAAGCUCGGGGUUGUGUAUCGAAAGAUAUGCAGCAGUAGGGGAGCGUUCCGCGGGCGGAGAAGGCGUACUGGAAGGUGCGUUGGAGCGCGCGGAAGUGCGAAUGCUGGCAUGAGUAGCGAGAAACAUGUGAGAACCAUGUUCGCCGAAAGUCUAAGGUUUCCGACGGAAGGUCAGUCCGCGUCGGGUUAGUCGGGCCU
rnacentral:rRNA from 1 species